rnacentral:rRNA from 1 species
UGCAAGUCGAGCGAGGCCCUUCCUUCGGGAAGGAGCCCUAGCGGCGAACGGGUGAGUAACACGUGGGCAACCUGCCCCUAGCUCUGGGAUAACUCCGGGAAACCGGGGCUAAUACCGGAUAUGACCUUUGAGGGCAUCCUCGAGGGUGUAAAGGAUUCUGGCUAGGGAUGGGCCCGCGGCCUAUCAGCUUGUUGGUGGGGUAAUGGCCUACCAAGGCUCCGACGGGUAGCCGGCCUGAGAGGGCGACCGGCCACACUGGGACUGAGACACGGCCCAGACUCCUACGGGAGGCAGCAGUGGGGAAUAUUGCACAAUGGGCGAAAGCCUGAUGCAGCGACGCCGCGUGAGGGAUGACGGCCUUCGGGUUGUAAACCUCUUUCAGCAGGGACGAAGCGAAAGUGACGGUACCUGCAGAAGAAGCACCGGCCAACUACGUGCCAGCAGCCACGGUAAUACGUAGGGUGCAAGCGUUGUCCGGAAUUAUUGGGCGUAAAGAGCUCGUAGGCGGUUUGUUACGUCGGCUGUGAAAACCUGGGGCUCAACCCCGGGCCUGCAGCCGAUACGGGCAAACUAGAAUUCGGUAGGGGAGACUGGAAUUCCUGGUGUAGCGGUGAAAUGCGCAGAUAUCAGGAGGAACACCGGUGGCGAAGGCGGGUCUCUGGGCCGAUAUUGACGCUGAGGAGCGAAAGCGUGGGGAGCGAACAGGAUUAGAUACCCUGGUAGUCCACGCCGUAAACGUUGGGCGCUAGGUGUGGGCCACAUUCCACGUGGUCUGUGCCGCAGCUAACGCAUUAAGCGCCCCGCCUGGGGAGUACGGCCGCAAGGCUAAAACUCAAAGGAAUUGACGGGGG